rnacentral:lncRNA from 1 species
AAAAAUCGUAUAAAAGGAGAGAGAAAAGGCUAAAAGAUAUCAGUCGAGUGAGCAUCUCCUACACGGCAACAACUGUUUUCUUCGUCGUAAUAUCAGUUCGCAAUCACGAUUGAUAAUGGCGUUGUGUUGCUGUUCGGUGUUGGUAACUAUCGUUCAUCGUUGAUGUCGACCACGAGAGAGAUAAGGCGAUAAAUCGACAGAGUAUCUCCGACACGACAAUAAUUGCAUUCUUCGUGGUAUUACCAGUUUUCAAUCAAUCACGGUAAACUAUGCCGUCGUGCUGCUGCUCUGAGCUACUACACCGAAGUAUUAUUCUUCCCCGAGCUACGCUACUAAAGCGCAUGGGUGCUACACCAACGAGUCUCCCGAGUACUACACCAGCGAGGCUCCCAAGUACUACUCUGCUCCCAGCUACUAAAACGAGCCAAAAGUAACGGACUGAAGGCGCUCAAAGUUUUUGCUGAGGACUGUAGCAGGUCGAGUCCUCCCUAAAUACUCGAGCGAAUGGACAACCGAGAAGUUGAAUGCGGAAAGUGUUAAUGUGUUGCCCAAAGCUAAUGUUGAGGGUGCAAGCUUGGAAGACAACAAGGUCCCAUUGAUCUUAAACAAUGGUCGAAAGGUUUUAAACUGACCAUGUUGUCGUUGCUGUCGGUUUGAACGCAAACACGGAUUGGCUGUCCCUUCUGGUUUGGAAAUUCAUUCAAAUUUUAGUGGUUGUCGAGUCAAUGCCGAGUUUGAAGCAGAACAAACGUCUGGUUGCAAGAGAUGCUGGCUGCUUUUAUGAUAUCAAAUUGGAUCGUCGUCGUGUGGAAUAUCAUGACCAUGCUGUCGUAUCAUUGGCAUGGAUUGCCAGGCUGUGGUAUUGAUUGGCUAGAGUGCAUAUGAUUGGCAAUGCAUGCAUGCAACAUGGGUGAAGGACUGCAGCGCAAUAUUUGUCACUAACUGCAUUCUUCGUCGUAUUUUCAGUACGCAAUCAUGGUUAACUAUGGUGUCCUGCUGCUGUAUGUUGUAUCGUUGAUGGCUGGGUCAACCAUUGGUGUACCGAUGUCUCCUGGGUAUGGCGGAUACCAAGCCGCAACGCCGCCGCCUUCCUACACAACAACAACAUACGCAACAACCGGUUACCACACCACCAAGGCUGCAGAAUAUUACACCACAACCUAUGAUGCCCCGAACUACUACAUCGAAGCCCUGAAGUAUAACUCUGCCCCGAGUUGCCUCAACAAAGAGGCUGAGUACUACACCACCAAGGCAACGGAGUACUACACCACCAAGGUACCGGAGUACUACACC